rnacentral:rRNA from 1 species
GACGAACGCUGGCGGCGUGCCUAACACAUGCAAGUCGAGCGAGUGAAUCUCCUUCGGGAGUGAAGCUAGCGGCGGACGGGUGAGUAACACGUGGGCAACCUGCCUCAUAGAGGGGAACAGCCUUUCGAAAGGAAGAUUAAUACCGCAUAAGAUUGUAGCUUCGCAUGAAGUAGCAAUUAAAGGAGCAAUCCGCUAUGAGAUGGGCCCGCGGCGCAUUAGCUAGUUGGUGAGGUAACGGCUCACCAAGGCGACGAUGCGUAGCCGACCUGAGAGGGUGAUCGGCAACAUUGGGACUGAGACACGGCCCAGACUCCUACGGGAGGCAGCAGUGGGGAAUAUUGCACAAUGGGGGAAACCCUGAUGCAGCAACGCCGCGUGAGUGAUGACGGCCUUCGGGUUGUAAAGCUCUGUCUUCAGGGACGAUAAUGACGGUACCUGAGGAGGAAGCCACGGCUAACUACGUGCCAGCCGCCGCCGUAA